rnacentral:rRNA from 1 species
UCGAGAAUCUUCCGCAAUGGACGAAAGUCUGACGGAGCGACGCCGCGUGGUGGAUGAAGUCCUUAGGGACGUAAACACCUUUUAUGAGGGAGAAAGUAUAUUGAUGUUACCUCAUGAAUAAGGGGCUCCCAACUCUGUGCCAGCAGGAGCGGUAAUACAGAGGCCCCAAGCAUUAUCCGGAUUUACUGGGCGUAAAGGGUGCGUAGGCGGUUAUAUUAGUCGGGUGUUAAAUCCUGAGGCUCAACCUCAGGCUCGCAUUCGAAACGGUAUAACUAGAAGGAGUCAGAGGCAAGCAGAACUCAUGGUGUAGGGGUGAAAUCCGUUGAUAUCAUGGGGAAUACCAAAUGCGAAGGCAGCUUGCUGGGACUUUCUUGACGCUGAGGCACGAAAGCGUGGGUAGCGAAUC